rnacentral:pre_miRNA from 1 species
AAAUCUCUGCAGGCAAAUGUGAUGUCUCGGUAGCAAUCUCACAGUUACCAGUAGAGAUUCUG